rnacentral:rRNA from 1 species
UACGUAGGGUGCGAGCGUUGUCCGGAAUUAUUGGGCGUAAAGGGCUCGUAGGCGGUCUGUCACGUCGGGAGUGAAAACACGGGGCUUAACCCCGUGCCUGCUUCCGAUACGGGCAGACUAGAGGUAUGCAGGGGAGAACGGAAUUCCUGGUGUAGCGGUGAAAUGCGCAGAUAUCAGGAGGAACACCGGUGGCGAAGGCGGUUCUCUGGGCCCUACCUGACGCUGAGACGCGAAAGCGUGGGGAGCGAACCGG